rnacentral:rRNA from 1 species
ACUCCUACGGGAGGCAGCAGUGGGGAAUUUUGGACAAUGGGCGAAAGCCUGAUCCAGCAAUGCCGCGUGUGUGAAGAAGGCCUUCGGGUUGUAAAGCACUUUUGUCCGGAAAGAAAUCCUUGGCUCUAAUACAGCCGGGGGAUGACGUACCGAAGAUA